rnacentral:lncRNA from 1 species
GACCACUUUAACUUUACAAGACCAAUUAGGUUUAUGUUUAGAAGUUUUUUCACUUCAUGGUUGUGUUUUUGUUGCACAGGCACUAAGGUUUUAUGGGAGCUUUAAUACAACAGUCACAGGCAUUACAAUUCAAAAUAGUCCUCAAUGUCACCUCAAGUUUGACAACUGCAAUGGAGUCCUGGUUCAUAAUGUGAGUGUAUCAUCUCCGGGUGAUAGUCCUAACACAGAUGGAAUUCACCUUCAGAAUUCAAAAAAUGUGGUGAUUCACAGCAGUAAAUUAGCAUGUGGUAAUACUUCAAUUAUCGAAAAGUAAUUGCACUAUUCUAUGAGCAUUAAGACAACUGAGUUCACGAAAUAAGUUUGAGGGUUGAAUAAAAAGGGUGGCCCAAUACACGAGGCUCCCACUUAGUAAGGUCUAGGGAAGGUUGAUGUAAGCAGCCUUACCCCCACAAACGAAGAGGUUUUUUGCAAAAAGUUUGAGGAUUGAAUAAAAACAUAAUAUAUGUGGACUUCAGCUCUAAAACAACUGGGAGGACAUAAAUAAAUACAAAACAAAAAGGAAGAGAAUAGAAAGACAAAGAUUAGAUGCAUAGCAUAUGAAUAUGAUCCUCAAAAGAGCAUGGCAUUAUCAUAUCCUAUCCUUGGUCACAUGGCAGCUAAGAAUCUCCUAAUACUUUUACAUUAUAGCCAUCAAUAACAUUGACAAGUCAAGUCCAAACCCCACAUUGCAUCAUCUAAUAUUAUCUUACUCUUUAGUAUCCAAAUAAGAAAAUAAGAACCCCCUUUUGUAUUUCUUCCAUUAUCUAUUUCUUUAUUAGAAAACAGAUCAUCUGCUUUUGAUCCUUCUUACCAACCUUUUAAAGGAGGACCUACUUAGCAGAACAAAAGAUUAACAUUGCAUGUCAGAGAAUCUAUUACAAGCUGAACAAAAAUUUUCAAUAGAUAACACUACAGAUAAAAGGUCAUGCAUCUAGGCAAAAACCACAGCUAAACAAAGUGAAGUAGAAUAAUACACAUACGUAACUCAAGUUGCUAAGUGUUGUUUUGAAUUUCAACUGAUGCAGGAGAUGAUUGUAUUUCUAUACAAACUGGAUGCUCAAAUGUAUAUGUAUAUGAUAUCAACUGUGGGCCAGGACAUGGAAUCAGCAUUGGAAGUUUGGGAAAGGAUAACACCAGAGCCUGUGUCUCAAACAUUACAGUCAGAGAUGUCAAGAUGCACAACACAAUGAAUGGUGUCAGAAUCAAAACAUGGCAGGUAAAAUAAAGAUUCCUAAGUUGAAAGUUAAGAAAUAUUUUCAACAUAAAAACAAUUUACUUUAACCAACUAUUAUAUAUAUAAGUAUAAAACUAUGGUUUAUGAAUGCUAAGGAUGAGUCAAUCCAGGCAUUACCAGAGUUUGAUGAACUAGUUUGAUUUCUCACCAAAGCUAAAUAACAUAUAUGCAGGGUGGAUCAGGGUCAGUGCAGGGAAUAGUAUUCUCAAACAUACAAGUAUCUGAAGUUAAACUCCCAAUAGUGAUUGACCAAUUCUAUUGUGAUAAAAGAACAUGCAAAAACCAAUCAUCAGCUGUGUCUCUAGAAGGAAUCAACUAUGAAAGAAUAAGGGGUACUUACACAGUUAAGCCAGUGCACUUUGCAUGCAGUGAUUUUCUUCCAUGUGUAGAUGUUUCUCUAACAUCUGUAGAGUUAAAACCAGUUCAAGAACAAUACCACCUAUAUGAUCCAUUCUGCUGGCAGACUUAUGGUGAAUUAAGAACUCCUACUGUUCCACCAAUUGGUUGUCUUCAGAUUGGGAAGCCAUCAAGCAACAGAGUUCAGACAGAUCAUGAUUCCUGUUAGAUAUAUAUAAAAGAUGGAAAGAGUGUGAGUUUGGCGCAAUGAGGUCACGAGUUCAAAUCCUGGAAACAACCUUUUCACUGAUGAAGUAUGACUGCAUAUAUCUACCUUUUCCAGACUCAAUAAGUGGAGCCUCAUACACUAAGCCACCUUAUAUAUAUAGAGAUGCCCCUUUAAAGUGUGUUAGCCAGUUGGAUAGAACAUGUAUAUUCUGAGAUUCCUACCCUACCAAAAUUUCUUCAUUAAGGGUUACACUGAUUUACCAUUAUCAAAAUAUAGUUGCCCUUCUUUCAGCAUGAGGCCUAGUAUUUGAAAAGCAGCCUUAUAGCUAUGCAAAUUGGCUGAGUGUGAGAUUUCUAUAUACAUAUUGCCACCAUCCAUCUAUGCAAUAAAAAUAUCACCAUCUCCACCAAGUUAUAAGUUUUGAUGGCGUGUCAGGGUUAACUUUCUUGUUUUACUACUAUUCAGUCAUGUAAUUACUAUAUGAUUAUAAAAAAUGUCGUCAUCAUAUCUGCUAAGUAUAAAGUCCAAAAUGAUGUGCUAAUAAUAAACACCAGUGAUAUCAAGCACUACAAGAUGAAUACAUAAACACCAUACUAUUAUAAUGACCAUAUCAGGAAUUAGAGAGACAAGUAUAUAAAUGGUGAGGAAUACAGAAAGGUGAAGACAAUAACUUUUAAGGAUGUGGGGACCAGAGAAAUUAUUGUAUACUCUAAGAGCAUUAUAACUGCAUGGUUUAAGAUCAACCACUGCCACUAAUUGUGAAUUGAUAACUUAAGAUCUGUAAAUGGUGAAAAUUCUUAUAGGAGCAUUUAUUCUGUUCCAUAAGCAUACUAGAGUUUUUCAGUGGACCUACAAUAAUUGUAGUAAAAGUGUAAAACACACACAUGCACAAACUAUGUACAAUUUACUGCUGUGAUAAAUUUUUAUGGGUAGGUACCUUAAUUGAAAUAGCUACGUUGCAAUAUAAUGCAGGCAUUCAAAGCCACAUGGGCAUCUUCUUGCAAGGUAGAAGCAUCAACCAUGCUAGUUCCAACAGAUUAUGUCUUCUACGUGGGACCUAUUUCAUUCUCUGGCCCAUACUGUAAACCCAACAUUGUUUUUCAGGUAACAGUUAACACAACUAAGAAAAAUGAAAGUUAGCAUCAAAAUAAAACAAGACUAGUAGGUAACAUGUGAAAACACUCAUCCCAAUAUAUUCACAAGUCACAAUAGCAAUAUAUGAUUUAACAUAAGAACAAUAUACACGGGCCUGUCCUUUUCCCAAUUCAGAAAAUUACAUAACAAAGAACAGUUAUUGCAUUUUGUCCUAGAAACCUUGCAUUAACCACCAACUCUUCCUAUUACUAUUUUAGUUUAUUGUAAAAACGCUUUACAUUUUUUUACAUUGUCAUAUUUAUAACAAUGUGUCAAUGUCAAUACUCCAUAGUGUAAAAACUUUUACACCAAAAAUGGGUUACAAAAAAAUCACUUGUCGAAAUGUGUAUUUACCUCUACACGGUAAGUUGGUAACUGUCCUUUUCGGUUAUAGCAACCGACAGUACAGUUGGAAUUUAGGCUAAUAAGGUGAUACUAUGUCAGCUUGAUGGUACAAUUAUUGCUCCAACAAACUCCAAUGCUUGGGGUGGAGGAUUGCUACAAUGGCUAGAAUUCACAAAGUUGGUGGGAAUUACCAUUCAAGGAAAUGGUGUCAUUGAUGGAAGAGGCUCUGUCUGGUGGCAAGACCAACCAUUUGAUGAGCCUAUAGAUGAUGAAGAAAAGCUCAUUGUCCCUUUAAACCACACAGAGAAGCCACCAUUGCCUGUAAUUAUCUUUGUUACUUUUCACAUUAAUAACACUUUAUUGCUAACCUCAGCUAAUGAUUUAUAUUUAUGCAUUUGUAUUAGAUACAAAGUGAGAUGGGAAGAAAAAUGCCAAGCAUCAAGCCAACUGUGAGGACCACUUUAACUUUACAAGACCAAUUAGGUUUAUGUUUAGAAGUUUUUUCACUUCAUGGUUGUGUUUUUGUUGCACAGGCACUAAGGUUUUAUGGGAGCUUUAAUACAACAGUCACAGGCAUUACAAUUCAAAAUAGUCCUCAAUGUCACCUCAAGUUUGACAACUGCAAUGGAGUCCUGGUUCAUAAUGUGAGUGUAUCAUCUCCGGGUGAUAGUCCUAACACAGAUGGAAUUCACCUUCAGAAUUCAAAAAAUGUGGUGAUUCACAGCAGUAAAUUAGCAUGUGGUAAUACUUCAAUUAUCGAAAAGUAAUUGCACUAUUCUAUGAGCAUUAAGACAACUGAGUUCACGAAAUAAGUUUGAGGGUUGAAUAAAAAGGGUGGCCCAAUACACGAGGCUCCCACUUAGUAAGGUCUAG